rnacentral:rRNA from 1 species
AUGGCAACUCCUGGUGAGGCUCGUGGUUCUGCUACCUUGAAGGCCAUAACAUUCUUUUGUGUGCUUGCAGUUCUUGUAGCUGAUAUCCAGGGGCGUCAUCAUCAUACUUGUCCUCCUUUUUCUUGCGGCCAUCUGCAAGACGUCCGGUACCCUUUCCGCCGGAGAGGUGAUCCAGGCGAGUGCGGAGUUACAUAUUACGAGCUGGCUUGCACCGAUAGCAGGGCUACCAUUACGAUCAACAGCUGGCCAUACUUUGUGACUGAGAUAAAUUAUGCCAAUUCUUCCUUCUUGGUUGUCGAUGCUAGAUUGGACUUGAGCAGCAGCUGCCCUGUUCCUCAACGGAACCAGGGGGCUUACCAGCUGUAUUACGGUGGUGGCUUUUUGAGGUCAGAAGGCUCGGAGUUAAUGCUUGAACUGGCCCCUCCCUCUUCAAUUGCGUUGGCUACCUUUGUGAAUUGCUCGCGUGAGGUCAGGAACAAUACUCUCUACUCACCAGUUGCUUGCCAUAGCACGAGCUCCUCUUUUGUUUAUGUGCUGAUUGGUGAUCCCACCGACAUUUUCGCCCUCAAGCCUUCCUGUGGAUACCUGGGCCUGGCUGUGAUUGUUCUGGAAGGCGAGAGAUCGCCAUAUUAUGCAAAUUAUCGAGAUGUCAUGGAAUCCAUGAGAAACGGAUUCGCAGUUAGUUUUCCGCAAGAUUUUGCAUGUACUACAUGUGGCUUUGAACAACCCUUGCCGUUGCUCAGUAUUGGCGAAUUAAUCAGUGGAAUGAAGUCUAGAAGAUACACGUGGGAAAAGAUUUUGGAACUUUUGCUAACUCGUUUGUUUCCUCGCAUAACUGGAAAAUAUGCAUAUGCAGCAAUUCCCAUGUGGAUUGCCCAGUGGAUUGCAAUAACUGCUGUACUAUGCAGGUUCAUGCUGCCGCCACUGGUGGUAUUGACAUUCCUUGCCUACAAGUACUGGAGAACAAGGAUAACAAUUGAUGCAGUCGAGAAGUUCUUGCGGAUGCAACAAAUGGUGGGCCCAAUCAGGUACAGCUACACAGACAUCACCGCAGUAACAAGGCAUUUCAGAGAUAAAUUGGGCCAAGGGGGCUAUGGCUCAGUCUACAAAGGUGUUCUUCUCCCAGGAGAUAUCCAUGUUGCUGUUAAGAUGCUAGCAGGUAGCUCCAACUGCAACGGAGAAGAUUUUAUUAGUGAGGUCUCCACCAUUGGCAGGAUCCACCAUGUCAAUGUGGUCCAUCUCAUGGGGUUCUGCUCGGAGGAAAUGAGAAGGGCCCUGAUCUAUGAGUACAUGCCUAAUGGCUCUCUUGACAAAUACAUCUUUUCGUCGGAGAGGAGCUUCUCUUGGGACAAGCUCAAUGAGAUUGCCUUGGGGAUUGCAAGGGGUAUCAACUACCUGCAUGAGGGGUGCGACAUGCAGAUUUUGCACUUCGACAUCAAGCCGCACAACAUUCUUCUCGAUACCAAUUUUGUCCCGAAAGUUGCUGAUUUCGGCCUGGCCAAACUGUACCCAAGGGAUGACAGCUUUGUGCCGUUGAGCGCUAUGCGGGGAACCAUUGGGUACAUAGCUCCUGAGAUGGUAUCCCGGAGCUUUGGUGUGGUAUCCAGUAAAUCUGAUGUUUACAGCUUCGGGAUGCUGCUACUGGAAAUGGCAGGAGGACGCCGGAAUGCUGAUCCGAAUGCAUCAAACUCAAGCCAGGCGUACUACCCGUCCUGGGUGUACGACAGGCUAACAAGGCAACAAGAAGUGGCUGUGAUAUCUGCGGCAGAUGAGAUGCACGAGUUGGAGCGGAAGCUUUGUCUCGUUGGGCUAUGCUGCAUCCAGAUGAAGUCUCAGGAUCGGCCGACGAUGAGCGAGGCCAUAGAGAUGCUCGAAGGUGGCGUUGAAGGCCUGCAUGUGCCUUCCAGGCCAUUCUUCUGUGACGAUGAGCACGCCCCUGUAGCUGCUGGUUCUCACCACGUCUUCUCUGAGCUGACUACUCUGUCGGAGGAGGAGGAUUUUGAUGGUGCUUCUACGCAAGACAACAGCGCUGGUCUUAGAAAUGCAGAGUAG